GUGGUGUUCCUUCAAAAGUCAUGUUGGGUUAUUUUACUUCUUUUGUUUGCUAAUCAGAAAUAGAAAAUUUAUAAACUCUAAUUUGAGAAAAUUGGCAUGCGCUUAAAGGUUGGAGCUCGAAGAACAUAAGGUUUGCUUCGGCACAAGUUAAGUUGAAAAACUUAUGUCAGUUACAAGCUGAUACUUGAAAGGUUAAGUUCUUUAUUCUUUAGCUAAAUAUGACUUUUUAAUUUUCUUAUUUUGUUUACUAUUUCAAUAUCUAUUUCCAAGGUUAAUACCUCUACCUCGUCUUCAAAUAAUUUCAUGAUAGGGUUAGUAGCUAAUCUUUAAUUUUAUUAAGUUGAAUGGUGGUGUUCUCUCAAAAGUCAUGUUGGGUUAUUUUACUUCUUUUGUUUGCUAAUUAGAAAUAGAAAAUUUAUAAACUCUAAUUUUUGAAAAAUGGCAUGCGCUUGAAGGUUGGAAAUCGAAGAACAUAAGGUUUGCAUCGGCACAAGUUAAGUUGAAAAACUUAUGAUCAGUUAGAAGCUGGUACUUGAAAGGUUAAGUUUUUUAUUCUUUAGCUAAAUAUGACUUUUUGAUUUUCUUAUUUUGUUUACUAUUUCAAUAUCUAUUUCUAAGAUUAGUACCUCUACCUCGUCUUUAAAUAAUUCCAUGAUAGGCUUAGUUGCUAAUUUUUAAUUUAAUUGAGUUGCAUGGUAGUGUUCCUUCAAAAGUCAUGUUCGGUUAUUUUACUUCUUUUGUUUGCUAAUUAGAAAUAGAAAAUUUAUAAACUCUAAUUUCUGAAAAAUGGCAUGCGCUUGAAGGUUGGAGGUCGAAGAACAUGAGGUUUACGUCGGCACAAGUUAAGUUAAAGAACUGAUAAUUAGUUAGAAGCUGAUACUUGAAUAGUUAAGUUAUUUAUUCUUUAGCUAAAUAUAACUUUUUAAUUUCCUUAUUAUGUUCACUAUCUCAAUUUCUAUUUCUAAAGUUAG
rnacentral:lncRNA from 1 species